UGUAAAUGUCAUGCAGCAAUUUGCAAGUUCCAAUGAAAAGCCACUUGCCACAUUUGGAUACAGAGUUGCAAGGAACAUAACAGAGGUCAAUAAAAGUCUGAUGAAUGUGAUGGAGGUGAAACUCAUUCCACCUGAAGCCCUCCGUUGUGCCCCGUGCAUAUCCCCCCAUGGACUCUCUCACCAAACUUCUGGGUUUACAGCUGGUGAACUUCAAGGAAAGCAAACUCGGGCUGAGCUGCCAGCACAAGUAUUUCCAAGUCGAGAAAGCUGACGACGUCUGACCUGGUGUGAUUUCCGCCUGACCUGGUGUGAUUUCCCCUGGCUCUCUGGAAUUCUAGAUUUUCCUGGAUCUGCCAAAAGGGAUUUUGUUGUCCUCACCAGUUUGAGCCUUGAAGCUCCAUCUUCCCUUCUCACGUUAGUCAGUGUCAAGGUGUCACAGCACAGCGGAGUCUGAGAAUUCUCGGGUCAGGCGCAGCAUGUGGGCCUUCUGGCUGCACUCUGCGUUGCUGGGGAGCAAUUUGAAACCCAACCCCACCUUCGGGAUGUGAAAUGAGGGGAGUGCACGGAAGGCAACAGGCUUGAUCCUGCCUGCCCCGCUAGGGUCAGUCGGUAAUGAAGUUUUCAGUCUCCCCAUUUUCAUAGCAUAAUGGAGUGUGGGUCAUGAAAUACCUUUAAACAAAGAACCUCCAACCUUUUCCUGGUGUGAAUAAACUUUAAAUUUGCCCAAAGUCAUGGAAUCAAAGAUGUUGGAACCAGAAAGGAGACCUACUGUCACAGAGGUGGCACUGAAGACGCGAUUGUUGAAGCAAGUUGCCCAAGACCCUGCAGUUCAGGGGCAGCAGGGUUCACAUUAGGGCUUUUGCCUCUGUGGGCU